rnacentral:rRNA from 1 species
AGUGAACGCUGGCGGUAGGCCUAACACAUGCAAGUCGAACGGCAGCACAGUAAGAGCUUGCUCUUACGGGUGGCGAGUGGCGGACGGGUGAGGAAUACAUCGGAAUCUACUUUUUCGUGGGGGAUAACGUAGGGAAACUUACGCUAAUACCGCAUACGACCUACGGGUGAAAGCAGGGGAUCUUCGGACCUUGCGCGAUUGAAUGAGCCGAUGUCGGAUUAGCUAGUUGGCGGGGUAAAGGCCCACCAAGGCAACGAUCCGUAGCUGGUCUGAGAGGAUGAUCAGCCACACUGGAACUGAGACACGGUCCAGACUCCUACGGGAGGCAGCAGUGGGGAAUAUUGGGCAAAGGGCGCAAGCCUGAUCCAGCCAUACCGCGUGGGUGAAGAAGGCCUUCGGGUUGUAAAGCCCUUUUGUUGGGAAAGAAAAGCAGCAGGUUAAUACCCCGCUGCUCUGACGGUACCCAAAGAAUAAGCACCGGCUAACUUCGUG